GACGAACGCUGGCGGCGUGCUUAACACAUGCAAGUCGACAUGAGUGGCGAACGGGUGAGUAAUAAGUGGGUAACCUGCCCUCCUUUUUGGGAUAAGCCUUGGAAACGGGGUCUAAUACCGACUAAAGGGGGAUGGGCUCGCGGCCUAUCAGCUUGUUGGUGGGGUGAUGGCCUACCAAGGCGGUGACGGGUAGCCGGCCUGAGAGGUUGACCGGCCACAUGUGGACUGAGAUACGGCCCAGACUCCGACGGUAGGCAGCAUUGGGGGAUAUUGCACAAUGGGCGAAAGCCUGAUGCAGCCAUGCCGCGUGUAUGAAGAAGGCCUUCGGGUUGUAAAGUACUUUCAUCGAGGAGGCGUUACUCGCAGAAGAAGCACCGGCUAACUCCGUGCCAGCAGCCGCGGUAAUAC
rnacentral:rRNA from 1 species